rnacentral:rRNA from 1 species
UACGUAGGGCGCAAGCGUUGUCCGGAAUUAUUGGGCGUAAAGAGCUCGUAGGUGGCGUGUCGCGUCUGCCGUGAAAGCCCAUGGCUUAACUGUGGGUCUGCGGUGGAUACGGGCAGGCUGGAGGCUGGUAGGGGCAAGCGGAAUUCCUGGUGUAGCGGUGAAAUGCGUAGAUAUCAGGAGGAACACCAACGGCGAAGGCAGCUCGCUGGGACGGUACUGACGCUAAGGCGCGAAAGCGUGGGGAGCGAACAGG